rnacentral:rRNA from 1 species
AGUGGCGCACGGGUGCGUAACGCGUGGGAACCUGCCCUUAGGUUCGGAAUAACUCAGAGAAAUUUGAGCUAAUACCGGAUAAUGUCUUCGGACCAAAGAUUUAUCGCCUUUGGAUGGGCCCGCGUUGGAUUAGCUAGUUGGUAGGGUAAAGGCCUACCAAGGCGACGAUCCAUAGCUGGUCUGAGAGGAUGAUCAGCCACACUGGGACUGAGACACGGCCCAGACUCCUACGGGAGGCAGCAGUGGGGAAUAUUGGACAAUGGGCGAAGGCCUGAUCCAGCAAUGCCGCGUGAGCGAUGAAGGCCUUAGGGUUGUAAAGCUCUUUUACCCGGGAAGAUAAUGACUGUACCGGGAGAAUAAGCUCCGGCUAACUCCGUGCCAGCAGCCGCGGUAAUACGGAGGGAGCUAGCGUUGUUCGGAAUUACUGGGCGUAAAGCGCGCGUAGGCGGCUUUUUAAGUCGGGGGUGAAAUCCCGGGGCUCAACCCCGGAACUGCCCUUGAAACUGGGAAGCUAGAAUCUUGGAGAGGCGAGUGGAAUUCCGAGUGUAGAGGUGAAAUUCGUAGAUAUUCGGAGGAACACCAGUGGCGAAGGCGACUCGCUGGACAAGUAUUGACGCUGAGGUGCGAAAGNGUGGGGAGCAAACAGGAUUAGAUACCCUGGUAGUCCACGCNGUAAACGAUGA